rnacentral:lncRNA from 1 species
AUUUUUCUUGCACUUAGCUUAUCCAAUAAAUCAAUUGAACUUGAUCCAAUCAAGCCCAAACUAUAUCUAAUUAAAUUAUAUUCAAUUAGACUUAAUCUCAGUCAAUUGGCUGAAUCAAAUUAAGUCAAUUAGCAAUUGAAUUGCUAAUCGAUUCUCCUAUAAUAUUUGUACGAGGUUAAAUGUCAAUCGUAUUGAUUGUUUAACCCUAGAACGAUUCUUAAUCAUUGAUCAACCAUC